UACAGAGGUCCCAAGCGUUGUUCGGAUUCACUGGGCGUAAAGGGUGCGUAGGUGGUGAGGUAAGUCGGAUGUGAAAUCUCCGGGUUCAACCCGGAAAUGGCAUUGGAAACUACCUUGCUGGAGGAUUUGAGGGGGGAUUGGAAUACUUGGUGUAGCAGUGAAAUGCGUAGAUAUCAAGUGGAACACCAGUGGCGAAGGCGAAUCCCUGGAAAAUACCUGACACUGAGGCACGAAAGCUAGGGGAGCAAACAGG
rnacentral:rRNA from 1 species